UGCAAGUCGAACGGCAGCACGGACUUCGGUCUGGUGGCGAGUGGCGAACGGGUGAGUAAUAUAUCGGAACGUAUCCAAUAAUGGGGGAUAACUAAUCGAAAGGUUGGCUAAUACCGCAUACGCCCUACGGGGGAAAGCUAGGGAUCUUCGGACCUGGCGUUAAUGGAGCGGCUGAUAUCUGAUUAGCUAGUAGGUGAGGUAAAGGCUCACCUAGGCGACGAUCAGUAGCUGGUCUGAGAGGACGACCAGCCACACUGGAACUGAGACACGGUCCAGACUCCUACGGGAGGCAGCAGUGGGGAAUUUUGGACAAUGGGCGCAAGCCUGAUCCAGCCAUUCCGCGUGAGUGAAGAAGGCCUUCGGGUUGUAAAGCUCUUUCGCAAGGGAAGAAAACUUAUCCUCUAACAUAGGAUGAGGUUGACGGUACCUUGAUAAGAAGCACCGGCUAACUACGUGCCAGCAGCCGCGGUAAUACGUAGGGUGCGAGCGUUAAUCGGAAUUACUGGGCGUAAAGCGUGCGCAGGCGGUUUUGUAAGUCAGAUGUGAAAUCCCCGAGCUCAACUUGGGAACUGCGUUUGAAACUACAAGACUAGAAUAUGUCAGAGGGGGGUAGAAUUCCACGUGUAGCAGUGAAAUGCGUAGAGAUGUGGAGGAAUACCAAUGGCGAAGGCAGCCCCCUGGGAUAAUAUUGACGCUCAUGCACGAAAG
rnacentral:rRNA from 1 species